rnacentral:rRNA from 1 species
AUUGAACGCUGGCGGCAGGCCUAACACAUGCAAGUCGAGCGGAUGAAGGGAGCUUGCUCCUGGAUUCAGCGGCGGACGGGUGAGUAAUGCCUAGGAAUCUGCCUGGUAGUGGGGGAUAACGUCCGGAAACGGGCGCUAAUACCGCAUACGUCCUGAGGGAGAAAGUGGGGGAUCUUCGGACCUCACGCUAUCAGAUGAGCCUAGGUCGGAUUAGCUAGUUGGUGGGGUAAAGGCCUACCAAGGCGACGUUCCGUAACUGGUCUGAGAGGAUGAUCAGUCACACUGGAACUGAGACACGGUCCAGACUCCUACGGGAGGCAGCAGUGGGGAAUAUUGGACAAUGGGCGAAAGCCUGAUCCAGCCAUGCCGCGUGUGUGAAGAAGGUCUUCGGAUUGUAAAGCACUUUAAGUUGGGAGGAAGGGCAGUAAGUUAAUACCUUGCUGUUUUGACGUUACCAACAGAAUAAGCACCGGCUAACUUCGUG